GAAGGAGGUUCCAACAUGGGGUUCCCAUCUCUCCAAUGCGAAAGACCACUUGUUGAAGUGACAAGGUCUCUUGUUG